rnacentral:misc_RNA from 1 species
AAGUCGUAACAAGGUUUCCGUAGGUGAACCUGCGGAAGGAUCAUUAUUGAUUUUUAAAGAAAAGUAAGCUCAAGUUGUGCUGGCUUGUUCAAAUGAGAGGCAUGUGCAUGCUUUGGGUUUCACUUUUUCUUACAUUCACACCAUGUGCACCUUUUGUAGGUCUUUCGAGAUCUAUGUAUUUUUAUUAUACUCCAAUGUAUGUUCAUAGAAUGUCUUUUAUCUUAUUGCGCAGUUGCUUUUUCUUUUUGAAAAGUGAUUGAUGCAAGUAAGUUGUAAAAACAACUUUCAGCAAUGGAUCUCUUGGCUCUCGCAUCGAUGAAGAA